rnacentral:rRNA from 1 species
AGUGAAUAGAUACCCAGGUAGUCCACGCUGUAAACGAUGAUUACUCGAUGUUGGCGAUACACAGUCAGCGUCUGAGCGAAAGCAAUAAGUAAUCCACCUGGGGAGUACGAUCGCAAGAUUGAAACUCAAAGGAAUUGACGGGGGCCCGCACAAGCGGAGGAGCAUGUGGUUUAAUUCGAUGAUACGCGAGGAACCUUACCUGGGCUCGAACGUAAGAUGACUGUAGGUGAAAGCUUACAUCUCUUCGGAGCAUUUUACGAGGUGCUGCAUGGUUGUCGUCAGCUCGUGCCGUGAGGUGUCGGGUUUAAGUCCCAUAACGAGCGCAACCCCUACCUUUAGUUGCCAACAGGUCAUGCUGGGGACUCUAAAGGAACUGCCUACGCAAGUAGUGAGGAAGGCGGGGAUGACGUCAAAUCAGCACGGCCCUUACGUCCAGGGCUACACACGUGCUACAAUGGCCGAUACAGAGGGCAGCUACCUGGUGGCAGGAUGCAAAUCUCCAAAGUCGGUCUCAGUUC